rnacentral:rRNA from 1 species
GUGCCAGCCGCCGCGGUAAUACGAAGGGGACUAGCGUUGUUCGGAAUUACUGGGCGUAAAGCGCACGUAGGCGGAUUAGUAAGUUAGGGGUGAAAUCCCGAGGCUCAACCUCGGAACUGCCUUUAAUACUGCUAGUCUCGAGUUCGGGAGAGGUGUAUGGAACUCCUAGUGUAGAGGUGGAAUUCGUAGAUAUUAGGAAGAACACCAGUGGCGAAGGCGAUACACUGGCCCGAUACUGACGCUGAGGUGCGAAAGCGUGGGGAGCAAACAGGAUUAGAUACCCGGGUAGCC